ACCUGCGGAAGGAUCAUUAAUGAAUUCACUAUGGAGUUGUUGCUGGCCUCUAGGGGCAUGUGCACGCUUCACUAGUCUUUCAACCACCUGUGAACUUUUGAUAGAUCUGUGAAGUCGUCUCUCAAGUCGUCAGACUUGGUUGCUGGGAUUUAAACGUCUCGGUGUGACUACGCAGUCUAUUUACUUAACACACCCCAAAUGUAUGUCUACUAAUGUCAUUUAAUGGGCCUUGUGCCUUUAAACCAUAAUACAACUUUCAACAACGGAUCUCUUGGCUCUCGCAUCGAUGAAGAACGCAGCGAAAUGCGAUAAGUAAUGUGAAUUGCAGAAUUCAGUGAAUCAUCGAAUCUUUGAACGCACCUUGCGCCCCUUGGUAUUCCGAGGGGCAUGCCUGUUUGAAUGUCAUUAAAUUCUCAAACUCACUUUGGUUUCUUUCCAAUUGUGAUGUUUGGAUUGUUGGGGGCUGCUGGCCUUGAAAGGCCGGCUCCACGUAAAUGCAUUACCAGGACUUCUCAUUGCCUCUGCGCAUGAUGUGAUAAUUAUCACUCAGCAAUAGCACGCAUGAAUAGUGUCCAGCUCUCUAAUCGUCCGCAAGUACAGUUUGACAAUCUGACCUCAUAUCAGGUAGGAUUACCCGCUGAACUUAAGCAUAUCAAUAAGCGGAGGAAAAGAUACUAACAAGGAUUCCCGUAGUAACUGCGAGUGAAGCGGGAAAAGCUCAAAUUUAAAAUCUGGUGGUCUUUGGCCAUGCGAGUUGUAAUCUAGAGAAGUGUUAUCCGCGCUGGACCGUGUACAAGUCCCCUGGAAUGCGGCGUCAUAGAGGGUGAGAAUCCCGUCUUUGACACGGACUACCAGGGCUUUGUGAUGCACUCUCAAAGAGUCGAGUUGUUUGGGAAUGCAGCUCAAAAUGGGUGGUAAAUUCCAUCUAAAGCUAAAUAUUGGCGAGAGACCGAUAGCGAACAAGUACCGUGAGGGAAAGAUGAAAAGAACUUUGGAAAGAGAGUUAAACAGUACGUGAAAUUGUUGAAAGGGAAACGCUUGAAGUCAGUCGCGUCUGCCAGGGAUCAACCUUACUUUUGUGAGGCGUACUUCCUGGUUGAUGGGUCAGCAUCAGUUUUGGUCGCUGGAUAAAGGUCAGAGAAAUGUGGCACCUUCGGGUGUGUUAUAGUCUUUGAUCAGAUACAGUGGCUGGGACUGAGGAACUCAGCGCCGCAAGGCUGUCUUAGGAUGCUGGCAAAAUGGCU
rnacentral:rRNA from 1 species